rnacentral:rRNA from 1 species
UACGGAGGGUGCGAGCGUUGUUCGGAAUCACUGGGCGUAAAGGGCGUGUAGGCGGUCCGUUAAGUCUGAUGUGAAAGCCCGGGGCUCACCCCCGGAAGGGCAUUGGAAACUGGCGGACUCGAGUCCCGGAGAGGAGGGUGGAAUUCCUGGUGUAGCGGUGAAAUGCGUAGAUAUCAGGAGGAACACCGGUGGCGAAGGCGGCCCUCUGGACGGUGACUGACGCUGAGACGCGAAAGCGUGGGGAGCAAACAGG